GACCGCGUGCAUGUUGUCGACUCUCGGCAAAAAGGGGGUGUUGCCUCUUCAGUAACGAAGUGAACACGUUCCGUGACGCUACCAGUUUCUCUCUGUCUAUUUCUGGACUCGCAUGGUAUUGCCUUUAACGUAUUAAGCGCUCGUAUAUUACUCGGUGUCAAUUAAAUUGAAUCGGAAACUAUUUAGAUCUUGAAAGUAACUGAUCAACAUGUUCUUCCGAGUAACAUGGAUGUUGGUCAUCUUCGGUCUGGUUGUCUUGGCACAAUCGGGUUUAGCUUUACGAUGCUGGGAUUGCGCUUCCAACACGAACAUACUGUGUGGUGAUCCACUAAAUAUCACGGAGCAUCAAACAUUAUUCCAUUCGAAAAUAUGCGAAACUGGAUCUUACGAACCGUCAAAACAUAUAUGCCGGAAGAUCGUGAGAAGAGAAAAUGGCGAGCGAGUAGUGAUUCGCCAGUGUUCUACUCCUAACGUUGAUGAGGUAGACAUCGUCGAUGGUCCUUGCAGCGGCUCAGUAAUUUCAGGUCGAAACGUAAUCGAAUCCUGCCAUAUUUGUAGCACUGACCUCUGCAAUUCCGCGACAGGCACUUCAAUUACGCAAUCGCUGUUCAUCAUUGCGCUAGGCAUUGUCAGCUACCGUUCCCUCCAAUCGAAAUACAAUUUCCUUUAACAUAGCGAGAUUCUAACCGAUAAAAUAAAAUCUAUUAUUUUUAAACUCAACAAUUAUUUGAAAGAGCGCCAUUUAAAUAAUCUUGAAUUCAAACGUGAUUAGUAUUUUCGCUAAUAAAUUUUAUUUUAAAAAGAUUAUUUUCAUGCUCUUCUUAUGAUUUUUUCGUGCUAUAAUAACAAUUUGGUUAAAUUAUCAAUCAUUUGUAAAAUUGCUUGUCCUUGAAGAGUAAGACAAUUUUAAAUCUUAUUAGCGUAAUAAAUGGUGUCAUAUUGGUUCCACGUAAUCGUCCAAGUUUGUUAAGGUUUUAUAGUUAGGCGUACCUCAUUAGUCGCAUACUAAAUAGAACGGUUAACAUAUAUUACGGUAGUUGCGUCACUCUGCUGAAAGCUUUACUUAAUCUAAUGAUCUAUUUAAUUACGAUAUUUUCGUAAAAAAAAAAAAACAACUACUCUAAAUAAAAUUAUGAUAUUCUUGUAUAAUUUGUGUAUAUAAAUUUUUACAGGUGUGACGUGAUUGUACAAUAAAGAAUUAUUCAUUCGAAUUAUUUCACAAUUACAGCCUGCCACGAUUAUACUUUCACGUCACGAUUAGUAAAAUUCUUUAAUCAUUAAUUGAAAUAUAUAUAUAUAUAUAAUUCGUAUUCCACGAAAGUCUGUAGAUAAAUUUUUUUCUUUUGUUUUAUUUGGUUUAAGCUUUAUCGCUGUUUGUUUUUUCAUUCUUGCUUUGCCAAUUUGUCUUGCUAUGAUAUUAUUUUAAGAUGAAAAAUAAUUAACAAGUGAAAAAAAUUAACUUAUCAGAUCUCCGUCCAAUAUAUAGGAUAAUACGAAAUUUUUCUUUCAUUUCGCGUUCGGCGAAUGUUUGAUUAAGUUAGCAUUUUUUAUGUGUCACUGAAAUUCUAUUAUUUUAUUAGACUUGUAGAUUAGACUGCGCUUCUCAUUCUGAAUAAAUUUGCUUUUGUUAUUCAUCCCCUUUUUUAUUGUUAGGAUAAAACGUAAUCUUUUUAUCUCAUGUAAUUUAUAAAAAUGAUUAAAUUUAUUGUAUCUGAA